GACAAGCAAUAUGGAACUUUUCUGAAAUGAUGAUGUCAUAGCCCCACCUCUCUAACAUCAGCCACUCAUAAUGAAUGACAUGUUAACAGCUUAAU